UACGUAGGAGGCAAGCGUUGUCCGGAAUUACUGGGCGUAAAGAGCGUGUAGGCGGCUCGAUAAGUCUGCUGUGAAAGUCCAGGGCUCAACCCUGGAAGGCCGGUGGAAACUGUCGGGCUAGAGUCCGGAAGAGGCGAGUGGAAUUCCCGGUGUAGCGGUGAAAUGCGCAGAUAUCGGGAGGAACACCAAUGGCGAAGGCAGCUCGCUGGGACGGUACUGACGCUGAGACGCGAAAGCGUGGGGAGCAAACAGG
rnacentral:rRNA from 1 species